rnacentral:rRNA from 1 species
CACGUGAGUAACCUGCCCUUGACUCUGGGAUAAGCCUGGGAAACUGGGUCUAAUACCGGAUACGACCAUUGCCCGCAUGGGUUGGUGGUGGAAAGCUUUUGUGGUUUUGGAUGGACUCGCGGCCUAUCAGCUUGUUGGUGAGGUAAUGGCUCACCAAGGCGACGACGGGUAGCCGGCCUGAGAGGGUGACCGGCCACACUGGGACUGAGACACGGCCCAGACUCCUACGGGAGGCAGCAGUGGGGAAUAUUGCACAAUGGGCGAAAGCCUGAUGCAGCGACGCCGCGUGAGGGAUGACGGCCUUCGGGUUGUAAACCUCUUUCAGUAGGGAAGAAGCGAAAGUGACGGUACCUGCAGAAGAAGCGCCGGCUAACUACGUGCCAGCAGCCGCGGUAAUACGUAGGGCGCAAGCGUUAUCCGGAAUUAUUGGGCGUAAAGAGCUCGUAGGCGGUUUGUCGCGUCUGCUGUGAAAGGCCAGGGCUCAACCCUGGUUCUGCAGUGGGUACGGGCAGACUUGAGUGAUGUAGGGGAGACUGGAAUUCCUGGUGUAGCGGUGAAAUGCGCAGAUAUCAGGAGGAACACCGAUGGCGAAGGCAGGUCUCUGGGCAUUAACUGACGCUGAGGAGCGAAAGCAUGGGGAGCGAACAGGAUUAGAUACCCUGGU